rnacentral:rRNA from 1 species
AUUGAACGCUGGCGGCAGGCCUAACACAUGCAAGUCGAGCGAGCGGCGGACUGGUGAGUAAUGUCUGGGAAACUGCCUGAUGGAGGGGGAUAACUACUGGAAACGGUAGCUAAUACCGCAUACCAUCAGAUGUGCCCAGAGGGGCUUAGCUAGUAGGUGGGGUAACGGCUCACCUCGGCGACGCUCCCUAGCUGGUAUUAGAGGAUGACCAGCCACAUGGGAAUUGUGACACGGUCCAGCCUCCUACGUGAGGCAGCAGUGGGGAUUAUGCCACAUGGGGCGCAAGCUGGAUGCAGCCAUGCCGCUGGUAGGAAGAAGCCCUUCGGUUUUUAAAGUACUUUCAGCGGGGAGGCUUUACCCGCAGAAGAAGCACCGGCUAACUCCGUGCCAGCCGCCGCGGUAUUCC